UAAGACUUCUAUUAAGUCUUAUACAUUAUCAAAACCUGUCUUAUAAGGUUUUCCACUCUUUUAUCACUUCUAAUAUCUAAAAACACCUCUUUUGACUUUAAAAAGAUCUAUUAAGAACUUACGCACAUGAAAGUUUAAUGUUAGUAUAUCAAUGGGGUAGAUCAGCAAAAAAAUACACCACUAGUGUUCAAAAACAACAUUCUAAAGUGUAUAAAAAUUUCCAAGACCAUGAAUGCACUUAAU
rnacentral:lncRNA from 1 species